rnacentral:lncRNA from 1 species
CAAAGCUCCAAGUCCGAUGUACAUAUCACAGGUAAAACAUUCUCAGUUCGACAAGCUACUACUCUAUGUACCCUGUAAAAUAUCACUCAUCCGAUCACCAGUCAUAUCCCAUCUCGGUGAAACAAGAGUACCUCUGAUGAUAGGCUAUAAAAUGUCUUCGAGACCUAAAGAUCUGAUCUACAUGUAAAAAAGGUAGCACAAAAUUUCCUAUAUAGGGCACAAAGAUGAAGUGUUGAUUAAUUGCGGUCCAACUCCGUAUGUGGAUAAGCCAAUCCUAGAGCACAUCCCAUGCUUAAUACCGCUCAAGAAAAAUGGCUUGCAUGUACUCUAGAUAGCAGUCAGCAACCUGCAAUAACAUUGGUUACUUGUAUUAUAGCUUUAACAUGACUAAAAAGGUUCUAUGGUACAUGAGUAAUUGUUUACUUGGAAUAGCAUCUGACCUUUACAAACUAAACCACUGAAGCAAAGUUGCCGUCCCAUUGAUCCACUAUUGCUCAGGAGUCAGCACUGCAAAGAAAAGACAACCAUUAGAAGCAUUCUAGUGAAAUUGUGUACAUCAAAAAACUGGUAGAAAUCCAUAACAAAACAAGGGAAUGGUAGCAAGAAAGCAGGCAUCAGUAACAGAAACAGUAACGUUUUAAGCAAAACAUUCUAAGGGAUACGUUUAAAAAGCGUUUGACCAAGGUUGUAAUAAUGAAUCCUAGGUUGAUCAAAAACUCCCUGAACUGCCAUACUGCUAAAGAUAAGGGCAACACAAUGAUAUAUCCAGAAUAGAUCACCCAGCAGGAGCUUCCUAAUAUCGUGCACUGGGAGGAAGGCCAGGAAAAAUAAGGUAUUUAGGACUGUACACUUGCUCAACUACAGCUUUUAUGCUGAUGGUUCUUCAUUUUUCGUACCCCACUGUUCCUCACUACUGUUUCCAUUCACAAGGACAGCACCAUCAGUUGAACCCUCAGCCUCAACCUCAACAGCUUCGUCUUGACUUUCUUCUUCUACUCCGUCAUCCUCUGCAUCACCCUCAACAGCAUCUUCUUGACUCUCUUCUACUCCACCAUCCUCAAUAACCUGUUCAACAACGAUCAAUGUUACCAGUUCUGCAAGAACGGUGAGCUUGAACAGAAGCAUGAAACUUUGGAAGUGCACACAACUAACCCUACUGAACUCAAUUUAUUAGAUAAUAGGUCAACAAACUAGAAACUAACAGGAGACAGUCCUGUACCAUUUAUAGCAACUCAGAGGUUCUCAUCUUUAUAGUCAAAACAUAUUUCUAUUAGUUUUAAGGUACGAAAUGAAACAGUGCAGAACAUCAUACUCAUAAGCAAAGAAGUUAAACUACCAGCAUGUUCCUAAGCAAUUCAAUUUAGUGAAACUACAAUAUGCACACUACUCCCUCCAUUCCAAAUUAUAGAUCACUUUAGCCUUGUCCCAAUUAAAACUUUUCUAACUUUGACCAAGUUUUAGGAAAAGCACCAACACAAUAUCAAAUUAGUUUCAUUAAAUUCUCCAUGGAAUGUCUUGAUAGUGCAUUUAUUUUGAAAUAGUAGAUGUUAGCAUAGUUUUCUAAAAAUUUGGUCAAAGUGAGGGAAGUUUGACUUAGGACAAAACUGAAGCGACCUACAAAAUGAAAGAGGGACUACAGAUUACCAUAUUGUCAAGAUCAAAAUUAGGAUAUUUCACAUAGUAAAUAAGAUGCAACUAACAUCAGAUAACCACCAAACCUUUUUUUUUGCGAGGAAUAAAUCAUAAUAGUACCUCAUGAACAGUAUCUUCAUUAUCAUCUGGUACCAUCUCUUCAUGUACAUGCAUAUUUUUAAAAGCUUCCACUAAACUCUCAUUUGACCUUUCAGCAUGAAUCAUGUACUCCUCGGCAGGUGGAUAGAUACCCCUGUUCAAACGAUUUUUUUAUGUGUGUCAGUAAAAGAUGAUAGCUUGGAAAAAUAUAUGAGUAUCGACAUCACUUCCGCUUUUCAACAGAUGAGUGCAAUUAAAGCACCCUCAUCUGAUGCAAGAGGUAAUCGGAGACAAUACAAAAGGAUACAGUUACAUAUGAAGAUAAAAAAGAACAAAAACCUUUUCGGGGCAACAACAGCUUCUACAUUGAGAGCAAUCUGCCAGUCUUCAAAUAAGUUUGGGUACUCAUUAGGAUCAGCCAGCGACUCUGCUGCUUUUGGGUUUACCUAAAAAAGCAAAUGGAACAAAACAGUGCACAUUUCAUAAGCUUAGACCUGCAAUUUGAAGACAGUGAUGCCCAAGUCUAAACUUAAGACAAAACAAAUAUCACAUGAUUUUAGCAAAUCUUUUAAGACACAUCCACCCUGAAUUUAGUGUACUAAAAUUAUUAGGUAAAUUGUGCUGGACGAAAUUGAAAGCAUCCAUUACAAGUAAAUUCAGAAACAAUUCCAGCAGUGGACUGUACCAGGGUUAUGCUAAAAUAACAAUACCAUGCUUGAGUUUGUAACUUAAGAUGACAAUUUAUCCUGGGAUACGUGCACUAAGACCAAGUUAACCUAAUUAAGAUAUGCAGAAAGAUUUGAGCAUAAGACUGAGUAGAACAGAAGCAAAGGAGACUCAUAGGACAGAAGACCUUCUGGAGAUCCUUUUUCCACAAUGCUACAAUCUCAGGGACUUUGCUAGGAAGAUAAGAUCUUGCCAUCAAUGCUGCUUCCGGAAUACGGUUGCUGUACAAGGGAUAGUAGACGAGUCAAAAUAAGAAACAAAAAAAAAGUAAGGUUAAGCAUGACAAUCUUGCCCAGAUGCCUAUUAUACCUUUCUAUUAGCAACUGAAGACACUCUUCCAGCUUUCCUAGCAUGAAGAAACAAAGGAAAGAAACAUUGUUCUUUCCUUGUUCUUUGGCUACAGAUGCCAAUUUCUUAAUGCCAUCAGCAUCCCCAAGGGAAGAAUACAAAAGCAACAAACCACUGAGGUCCAUAGCAUGUAGAAGACACUCCUCUGCCAUCUCAAGCUGCAGAAAAUUGUAUGGCAUGUGAGUAAGCGACUUCAAGUUAAAUUUUUGCAUGAUUGCAUCAUAGUUUUACAUGGAACACUAUUUUGUUAAAUCUAAGGAAAUAGCUAUAAGCAUCUCCUUACCAUCAAACUUUUAGUAUAACUUUCUCUUUAUAAGUACCCUCGUAUUAUCAUAAAUAAUUUUCUGCUUCAUAAUAGCUAUUGUUUGUCCCAGUCACAAAUAACUAAUGCUUUGGACAGUGACAUGGUCACCAAGAAACUACUUUUAAGUCUUUGACCACUAAUUACUAGUCCAAAAUGUAUGCAAAAUAUAGUGAAUUGACAUGUUGAAACUACUUUUGAAGAGACAUCUAGCAAUGAAACUGAUGAAUGCACGCAACAUAAAAUGUUCAAAGGUUAUUCAUAGUGAAUCUAAACCUCUGCAAAAUAUAGCAAGUUUACAAAAGUUCAAUCAAAGUAUUCUCUGAUGGUCAAAGUUUAAGCCUGUCAAAUUCACACAACAUAAAACGACACUUAUCUGCAACCAGAGGAAGUAAUAAUUAAGAAAACAUUAUGGCUGAACCACACUAUAUAAGGACAACAUAGAUAGCAGCAUUGCGCAUGCAAGAUAAACAAUACACCCGGUAGCUGUACCUUUCCAUUUGACAUAGCUAACUCCCCUAAUUGCUUCCACUUGGACUCACUUUGCACCUCGGUAGCAAUCGCCUGCAAAGCAACUACUAUUAGAAAAAAAUCAAAAAAUAAAUACUUUCAUGAAAUUGUGGAGAAGAAAAGAAAUCGAUUGUGCCUUCGCAAUUUCAAGUCGACCAAGCUGCACAGCCAGGUCAAAUUUGUAAUUAGUGUCAGUUGCUAUCUCGAGGGCUUCCUCCAACAUUCCCCGUGAUUCCAAGAAACGUGCCACACUGCAAAACGAAAGGUUAUGUUUCUAUGCUAAACCUGACUUGACACUACAAUAAUUACCAUGACAUUGAGCACCUGUCAUAUUGUUCCUUUGGUAUAGAUGAUAAAACAUCAUUCGCGCGAUCAAAAUCCCCACGCAUUACAAGUGUUUUAUACUCGAUCAAACUAAGGAGUAAAGUAUACCCCACAACACUGCAAUUAAAAGGUACAUUAGCCACAGAACUUGUGUAUGAAAACUACAUGUGAAAUUUAGGUAACAAAGAUGAACUCACUUAAAUUGCUUAUCAAUAAGAUAGACACGGCUUUGGUUUGCAAGAUAUCCUAGUAAAUACAUUGGCCUAUCCAAGUGAAACAAGGUUGUGACCUGUAACACAUGAAAUGGUUAUGACAUGAAAGCUCAAAAGAUAUAUAGGAUGUUUUUGUAAGUGACGAAAAAAACUCACCUCUCCUCCUACACAGUAAUUAAGCCGCCAUGAAGAAUUAUUGUAGAUGAAGCAAUCGCCAACCCAUAGCCCAGUGCGGACACGUUCAUUGAUCUCAUGAAGCAGUUCAAAGGCAUCUUCCACACCUUCCUCACCAGCUGAACCCCCUCCAUCCAAAUGAGAUGAAACUACAUCCCUCUACAAGGUAAAAGGAAACUUUUAUAUUAGUACAUUUCCAUUUGACCAAAAAAUAAUUGCUUCUUAAUUUGACAUAAAAAAAAAGACACAAGAAAUGUCAACGGAACAUAGGUAAUUGAGGUAAUGACAGAACUCACAUUAUAUUUCAAAAUGUAGAAUGACGUAUCACUUGCAAUUGUUACUAAAUCACCACUGUCGGCCCAGUAAAGAUUCUACACAAAGAAACAUGUUUUCAGUGGCACCACAUUUCAAAUGGCAUGAAUGUAAAAAUAGCUUUGAAAUAAUAAGGCAGCAAAUUCCAUACCUUCACAUUGACAUCAAUUCGACGUAUCAAUCUGCAAUCCACCCAAUCAUAGAAGCAAAUGAAGUCAUUUGUACACAUAGCAAGUAACACUCCACCAAAUAUCCGUUCAGCAGAAAAUGAUGGCCUUAUACUUUUCUUCUCCUGAAAAGACCAACUCUAGUUAACAGACUAUGUUCCAGGAACCCAUAACAAAAGAGAAUGGUGUAUGGAGUAUAGUAUGGUGGUUGCAAUUCAUUUAACAAUUUAGUUUGGAGCAGCACAGUAAAAUAGUUAUUUUACCUUUCCAUCAAACUUAACAAAAAAAGACAACACAAACUACAGUACAGUUUAUUUCAUAGCGUCUAUAGUUCAUUAUAGAAAAUAUUGAGGCUACAAAUUGGAUAUGAGGGCCAAUUGACCAUCUUUUAUGGCAUGACUAAGCAUGUUACCAGGAACAGGUACCCUACGGAUGUUUGUUUUAUAGAUAUAACUAAACAAAACAGUGUGCCAGGGAGAAGUGAAAUAUGUUAUACUCAAACAAACCUGGAAAUUUUUAGUGUAUAUCUUUAUCCUCGAGGUGCUUUCUCUGAUGGCAUAUUCUCCAUCAGUUGACCAAACAACUUCAAGUGCGGUCCCAAAUGAUUUGUUUCUCCAUGCUAAUGCUGUGUAUAUUAUGUAUUCUCCAUCUCCGCAUACAACAACAAAUCUCCCAUUCGGAUUGUGCCUUAAGCUCUGAAACAAAUAUUGCACCAGUAUAUUAUUAACGUAAACCAGCACAAAUAAAAUAUGCAUGACCACAAAAAAAGUAUAAAAAAAUCAUGAUGGUUCAAACAUUCAAUGUUGUUCGAAAGAAUGAGCCAUUACCCCCUACCCAUAAACUGCCAUAGGCAUUUUUAUGGUCCCACUAAGUUACAGAGAACUUUAUUUGCACAAAUGAGCUUUCACUGAGCAAGAAGCAUUUCAUUUUGGUAUUUGAGUUUAACGAUAUUAUACUGAAAAAUGCAGCUAAAUAAACAAAAUAUCCGGAUGCAUUUCCAAAAAUACAAGAUGAAUGUAUUAUCAUGACACCAUGUCUAUGUUACUUGGACAUUAAAAAGAAAAAAAAAAUAGAACUAAGUUUCAAGUAUUUAGUUGACUUGUGAUGAAGAAGAUCACAACUGAAGCAUCCAUUUUAUCACAGGUAAACUUACUUGUGGAUAAAGAUCGCAGCUUCCCAACUCCUUCACGGCCAACGGUAACCGAUCACCAUCUGCGAUCUAAAAAACGAAACAGUUAAGGACCACAGAGAAACCUUAUAAUAAGCUUACUAAGUUUACAUCGCAAGGUGAACAAAGGCAACCUCAUUGUCUGCACCAACACUCUUGAUAUUAACAGUUUGGAUUUCAUUAUGCUUUGCCCAUAUAAUUUUCCCACUACUAUCCAUGCUAGCAACAGGAACUUCACGACCAAUUUUUAUCAUUAUUGUCCCUUCAUCAUAUCCAAUCACGACCCUACACAAAAUAAGAUAUUCCAUAUCAUUAACUUGACUUGUGCAGGAAAGAACAAGUCAAAGAAAACCACACACAGCAUGUUUCAGUGAGAGCAAUUCGUUAAGAAAUAGUUAGGCAAAUAAACAAUUUUAUUGUCACAAUGUAUGAAAAUGGGAUAUGAAAAAAGGUAUGGUACUUCCAUAAGACAGUUGAGGAAAUGUGGAGAACACAGCGUGUGCAGUAUUACUGAGCUGUGGAUCUGUGGAGCCCUUGAUAGCAGAUUACAAGAAAUGGCAUUUGGUGUCAGACACUUCAAUAUGGAGAGAGAGAGAGAGAGAGAGAGAGACUACCUUCUUGACCCUUUCAUAUAUCCUAAAGCCCAAACUCGCUCAAGGCCAUAGUUAAGAGUGUUCUCAAGCCUGUAAAAGCAUCAAGAAAAUCAUUAGUCUCUUGUUGGCUUGUUCUAUAACCAAAAAAAAAGUAUUAGUUGCAUGGAAAAAGGAUUGUAAUACUAUUCUAAACCAUGAGUACAAAACAGCAGGUCUUCAUAUAUCACGAGUUCCGGCAUCAAAAAGUAGUUCCAUAAUUUUAUAUGACAAAAUGAAAAUAAUUUUUUUUAAAAAAAAAAAACUCUUCUCAAAACUGCAGGAGAAAGCAUAACUCCAAGAACCCCUUUUUUCUCAUCACCUCAUUGUUAAAGGAGCUAAUCAUUUCAACAGCUUAUGGACUAAGCUAUUAUAGUCAUGGUGUCAUGAUGGUUUAAUGUUCAACAAUUAGUGCCAGGUGUGAUACCAAUCAGCAUAAGGUUAGAACCAAUCAUGUAUCUCAUUCACCCCUAUUUAGUUGCAGUGUUUUCUCUGUAUGUGACUGAUUUUUACUGUAUGUUGCAAUACAAAACAAACAGUGCAAGUUAAAUCUCCUGCUACUGUAACCCUGCCACCAAACUUUUUUUGGGAAGUCAUGUGUACUUAAUCCAUGACAGAAAGUACUGUUGGCUGAUUUGCUGUGAGAGAAAAACACUGCUGACUGACUAGCAGAUUCGGCUGAUAAGCUCAAGCGAACAAGGCUAACAAAAUCUCCUGCUACUAUAACCAACAAUUGAACAUUUGAACUCUAGAAUUGUCGCAAAGUUAAACCUCGGAUCAAAUAGCAAAAGAGGCUAUCACAGAAACUGCUGAUGAACUUUAGUGUUUACCAGAUUUGGCCUCAAAAUGAAAGCACACUUGCAUAUACAUAUAUAAGCAAGUGAUGGCAGUGAUACUAAAUAAAUGAGUAGCAAUACCUGUAGGUAGUAGAAUGCCACAUUCGAACUGUCCCAUCCUCUGAACCAGUAAUUAUUAUAGGUAGCUCUGGAUGGAAACAUACAGCAGACACAUUAUGUGCAUGUCCUUCAAGUGUUUGAACGCAACUCUUUGUUUGGUAGUCCCAAACCUGAUUUUCACCAAUAAUGUCAUCAGUGUACAAUAAAUGAUCACAGGAGUACAAUUCAGUGCAUAUGACAAACCUUUGCAGUCUGAUCAUCAGAGCCAGUAAUUAAGUAUGGUCGAUCACCACCGGUGAAGUAAUCAACACAGUUCACACCUUUUGAAUGGCCAUCUAGUGUGAAAUUUGGGUCAGGGGAACCAAGACUCCAUAUCUGAUAUUGACAAAAAUUAGGAUAUCACCAUUAAGUUAUGAAAAAGCUAAUGGCAGCAAAUAAUACAAUAUUGUGGCCAACCAGAACUUUUAAAGCAGAGAUAACACAAACCUUUAUUGUGCGAUCCAGGGAAGCACUGGCAAAGGUGUUGGUAUCUUUUGGGUUAAAUGUAACUUGCAUCACAUAGUGAGAAUGCCCUUCGAAUAUUUGAGUACACACCCAGCCUUUAUCCCAAUCCCACAGCUUAAUCAGCAUGUCAUCGGACGAUGAUAGCACAAAGGGCUGGGUUGGAUGAACAGCCACACACCUAAUGUAAUCAGUGUGAGCUUCAAAAACCUUGACCUUGUCCAUUGUGUUAUAGUUGUACACACGGAUGAACAUAUCGUCAGCACCAGCAACAACCCAUUGCUUACGUGCAAUAAAUUUAGCCGAACGAACUGAAAUUGUUAAAGAAUAUUAGCAUAGCAUGAUGUAAACUUCAGGGAAGAGAAGCAAGCAGAAAGUUGGGUGAGCGUACCUGGUAAAUCCGUGACUUCAAAUGAUUUCACCAUUGUCUGGGGACGAGUUGAUAAAAUGCCAUCAGUUAAAGUUUAUGACCAAACCAACUAGGUAAUAUUUCUGGACUUUAAAAGUAAUGAGAUCAUGGAUUCACAAGGUGUGCAUGUUUCUCUUUUCUUCCUUCCAGUACUGGGGUUUAAUUCUGUGUUUGCUCUAUUCCAUUCCUUAUUCUUCCUUCCAGUACUUGGGUUUAAUUAUGUGUCUGCUCUAUUCCAUUCCCUAUCUGUGGUCCACUAGUCUGUCAACCAUUUACAAGCUGCAUAUAAAUUCAGCACAUGCAACUAAAACCCAUCCAUCUCAGCAUCCAUCAGGGAGGUGCUUGUAACUUUUGCCCUAAGCCCCUAACCAUUACGCUUUUUGCAAAUGCAAUUAAAUCCAAAUUGUUCCUAUUAGUUUUAUGUAACCACUAGUCUUUCCCAUACUCUAUUGCUGGCAUAUCACUAAGUUCAUUAUUGUGUGCACCCAAUAUGCCCGCGCCUUGAGCUCUAUAGUAAAUGCAAUGUAUGCAAGUAAUGGCUAAUCAUUAUGGGAAGAUAUCUAGUGCAAACCACAACUUUCGUGAAAACCUGUGCAAACCAAGGCAAAAAAGUCAUCUAAAUUUACCAAAAAAAUCACACAUGUAGAUGAUAUGAUGAUACACAACCUUGUAAAAUAUCUUGUCCAAACUCAAAUUCAUUUGUGAGAUAUAAAAAUAACAAAUUUCUAGCAAAUUCUGUGGACACCUUUCUGGCUUGAAAUUUGUUAUUUUUAUAUCUCACAAACAAAGUUGAGUUUGGACAAGAUAUUUUACAAUGUUGUGUAUUAUCAAAUCAUCUACAUGUGUGAUUUUUUUGAUGAAUUUAGACAACUUUUUUGCCUUGGUUUGCACAGGUUUUCAUGGAGGUUGUGGUUUGCACUAGAUAUGUUCCAAAUCAUUAUAGCGUAAAACGUUCAUCCAACAACCCAAUUUAGUAUAAAAUAAUAGGCAUAAGCUACCGUGAAGCAUGAACAAUCACCUACCUGAGUCUGGUAGUUCCAUACACAAACGCUUCCCGAGUACAGACUCGACAAAAUCCUGCAUUCCGCCACAUAGCAUAAUGUGAUUAGCCAUGGUUCAGACGAAGCACUCAUAAUUCACGUAGCGUUUCGGUACACAAAACCAGCCACUCACCAUGGCUCUGUCGGAUGCAGAUCCACGGACUUCACCCUCUCGGACCUCUGCGCGAGCUUCCUCUGAUCCAAGCAAACAGAGAACCACCAUCAGCGACGCGGCCCAAAAGCAUUUACCGCCGAGACAAAACGAGGAGCAGAAAGCCAAACGGAUCCGAGGAAGAUGGGUUGAGAUUACCUUGAUAUCCAACCGGAGCGGCUGCCGGAGCACGCCCAUCGCCCGCCCACCAACACCACAGACAGAGAAAAAAAAAGGCAAUCACAUCAGUACACAACGCCAGAAAGCACCAGAUCCACGCAGAUUUCAACCAGCCCCGCCGCGGAUCUCGCUACCUCGCGAGCCGCCGCGCCACAGCCCAACGGGCGCGAUCUCGCGUACGCGGCGGCGAAGUAGCAAGGCGGGAGCUGGAAGAGGUGUUCGGUGCGGAAGACGAGAGAGAGAGAGAGAGAGAGAGAGAGAGAGAGAGAGAGAGAGAGAGAGAGAGGCACGUGCACGUACCAUGGUGGCGCCCGCGACGGCUACGGAGGCAGCGGCGAGGCGAGGAGCGCGACUGGCGGAGGUGCGGCCGUGGAGGCGGCGCUUCUAGGGCUUGCGUAGCGAGGGGGCGGGUGGGAGUGUGAGGAGCGCGGCCGCGCGGGCGGUGGCCUCUCGCCGGACCGGGAGGUGCAGGCGCGCCGCGCGGGGAGAGGGGAGGAGAUUUGCGAGUGCGGGCCUGCGGGGGGAGACGAUUCCGGUGGAGAGGCGAGUGGAGACUGGAGCCCAAUUUUUUACAAUUUGAUUCUUUUUUUUAAAAAAAAAUUCCUUUUUCAUCCUAGAAAACCUAAACGCAGUUUUGGACCCAUGGCGUCGACCCCAUGGGUCCAAAACUGCGUUUAAGUUUUCCAGGGGUCUAAAAAGGAUUUUUUUUUCAAAAAAAGAGCCAAAUUGUAAAAAAUUAGGGGACUGGAGAGUGGAGAGGUAGCAAACGGGCUAACGGGUCUCGUAGCUACUGUGGAUUGGAUCCUCCGUGUGUUUUUUGGUUGGCCUUUUUGGAUCGUGGGUUUGCGUGCAUAAGGGUUUAGCUAGGCUUGUGGAAUGUAACCUGAAACUUAUUUCGUUGGCUGGAUGGCCAGCUAGCCAAGCUCCAGCAAGCCCAAAUCAAGGGAUUUAGUUUUCUUGAUGGAAACAACCGAUUCGGUUGUUCUCCGCAAGCCUAGCUUGGCCAGCCCUCGCAGCCGUAUCCGCUCACCUCGAGCGCAGCAGGCUCGUAUCCGCAGACCGAUGCGACCUCGACGUCUUCCUCGCGUCAGCAGCCGUGCGCGACCCGUGCGCCGGCAAUGACAACUUCACCGCCCUCUCGGCUGCCUUCCCACGGGCGCUCUCCGCCCGGACCCCCCCCUCCUCCCUCCCUUCCUUCUCAACCUCUGUGCCACUGUCCCCGUUCACGUCCGCCUCGCCGGCUCCUCCUUUCUGGCCUCCUCCGGGCGGUCCCUCCCUUCCGUCGUCAACACCGCCGUCUCAUCAGCUCACUUACUCUCCAGCCGCCGCCCACACCAUCUCGCGGUCUCCCACACCCUCCACCUUGAUGUCACCAGCCCCGUCGCGGCGUCCAAGCUCACCUCGAGCCCGUAUCCGCAGACCGAUGCGAACAACACGAGCGCAGCAGGCUCAUCCGCGCCCUCCGCCGUGAAGAACGCGAGCGCCUCAGGCCCUCGAGCUGCCUCUGCCCACCUCUUCAUCGACCUGUCCGUCGUCGGUGACCCCAACAACCUGCACGGGAAGAUGCGCGGCGGGAUGGGGCGCCUCGCCUCUCCCCCUCCCCCGACACCUCCGCCGGGAUGGGCGCCUCGCCCCUCCCUCUCCCCUGACACCUCCGCUGGGAUGGCGUGACUCGCCCCUUUCAGAUCGGCUGAGAGCUCGGCCUCUAAGCCUUCUGGUCCUCUGAAAGCCUAAGUUUGGUUUUAGUAAUUAAUGACACCAAGUUGCUAAUGCUUUAUGUUUAAGUGAACUGAGACAGACAUAGCAACACAUAUGAUGAAGGUGCAAGGUGCCAUAAAAAGGUGGUCACAUGAUCACAGAGAGAUAAAGCAUAAAGUGGAGAUCAUGGUGAUAAACAAAGAGUAAAGUGAACAAGGCAAAGGUAUAAACAUAGGGUUUUGCUUUUGCCGGUCUUAGUUGAGUAGAGAAGUGAUUGACCGGAUUUAGGAUUGAUAGCCGACUAUCAAGAGGGGAAAUCACGGUCAUCUCUUGAAUCAAGUGCUACUAUGUCCAUAUCUUGAGCAUAUGCAUUAGGAUCUAAUAAAAUACUAACCUAACUCCUUUGGGAAAAUAUUUGUGAAAUGUUAACACACAUGCACAUUAGUGGUGGACACUUGUUGGUGUUAGCACAUUUGCAAAGGAGGUAGAGUUUAUAGGGUUGAGAGGGGUUUGGGUUCCUCUCUCCCUCCCGCCGAGCUUGAGAGGCGGGAUUCGACGCUUUUAAGAAAAUUAAGUGUAUAUUUUCUAUUUGCGCCGGUGGAAAAUUUGGGAAAGUCGCGGGAGUGCUGGAUGUAGUGCGCGGAGGCACCGGACGCUGACCCUAGCGUCCGGUGUGCUGUCAGUGCGUGGCCCGGUUAGGGUUAAGCACCGGACGCAGGGUAUUCCCUGUUCGCGCGUCCGGUGUGGCCUGUCUUCAGCUGAGGUUUUCUAACAAGGCACCGGGUGCACUGGAGUGAGUCCGGUGCUCAGCGUCCGGUGUUAGUGCGGUUUGUAGACCUCUCUGCGCACGAGUCCAGUGAGGUCGUGAGUUUCACAAACUCUCUGCGUACGAGACCGCUGAGUACCGGACGCGUCCGAUGCUCACUUGACCGCGUCCGGUGGUCCGCAUGUGACCAUUGGAGUUCAACGCGCGAGAUUCAAAGAGUUGACACGUGGCCAACACCAGAGCACCGAACGUAGGGGGUCGAGCGUCCGGUGGCUCCCUGUGGUGAGUCCAGUGCCGCCGAUUUCAGCCCAAUGAAAAUGGCCAACGACUCUUUUGUUGAGGGGGAUUAUAAAUAGGAGGUGACCAUCUUUAGAAGGUUCUCUCUUGCACAUUUGAUUACUUGAGGCAUACAUUAAGCUAAAGAACACUCCCUCCACUCAUCUCCUUGCUUGAUUGCUAAUCCUAGUGAGAUGAGUGAGAUUCAAGUGCAUUGCUUAGUGAGUUGCAUCUAAUGUCACUUGAUUCUUGAGUUUGCUGCAGAUUUCUUGUUACUCUUAGGUGUUUCCCGACACUCUAGACGGCUUGGAGCAGCGGUGGUGUUGAGCUCGUGAUUGAAGAUUGUUUCGAGCCUCGCCAAGUGAUUUGUGAGGGGUUCUUAAGCCUUCUCCGCGGAAGAUUGCAAUUGGCUACUCUAGUGGAUUGCUCGUGGCUUGGAGGAUCCCCAUCUUAUGAGUGGAUGUGCGACACCCGCUGAGGGUUUGGCUUUGGAUUACCAAUUAGCUCGUGAUCCAUCAAGUGGGUGUAUUGCCACAACAAGGACUAGCUUGCCGGGAAGCAAGUGAACCUCGGUAAAAAAUCUUGUGUCAUCUCUUGCCGAAGAUUCUCCUUGUGAUUGUGAUUGUAAGUAAUUGAUUGGAUAUAUCUCUACUCUACAACGUUGGUAUAACAAUCACACUCCUCUCCAUUACUUUCUUGCACAACUUACUUGUUGUAUAGCUUGUGUAGCUUAGUCUUCUUACAUAGGAGUGUAGUUAACUUUAGUUGUGCUUUGUUGUUGUGACUUAGUGUUUAGCCUUCUUGCUAGACUUGUUUAGGUGGCUUGCAUAGCUUAGUUGAGUUAGUGCUAGAAUAGCUUCACCAUUUGUUUUUACUAAUCAACUUGUCUAGUUGAGUUUGUAGAGAAUUUUAAAUAGCCUAUUCACCCCCCUCUCUCUAGCCAUUUGGACCUUUCAUCCUCUUCCAUCUUUUCGACUCGGCCUUCUUCUCCAGCUCGCAGCUCAUAGCGGCGUGGUGGCCCAUUGCCAUGGUUGCCGAGGUGCUUAUCCACCAUGCCCACAACAUGUUCGACUAAAGUUCUGAAAGGGGGUAAAAUUAUCAGGUGAAGAAAGAGGUGAGUCUAUUCAAACUAAACCAGGCAACCAAACACACAUAUUCUUAGCCAAGCUUAGCCAGUACAUGCAACCAAACAUGUGCUACUUGCAUUAGUUAAAGCUGGCCAGAGCUAGCCUGUCUUAGUUUUGCUAGCAGGCUUGUCUAAGAAACGAACCAAGCACACCCGUAGUGAUUAAGCAAAGAUGGGUAGGUGUCUUUUAAAGUUCAAGGGCAACUAACAUUAGAUGGUUUUAAAAUUUUGAAAUUAGAUUGUUAUAGUCUCAAAAUUCAAACUCUAUUAUCUUUGAUUAGUAAUUAGUUCAAUUGCAUAAAAAGUUUAUAAUACGGUAGUGGUUACAUUAGGCUUGUAUUUAGAAAUACUUUCUAAUGAUCAGAAUUUUAUUAUAUAAUACAUUACUAGUAUAGAUAAUAAGAAAAAAGACUGUGAUAAGUUGAAUCAUAUCUCAUAUUCUAGAACGGAUAGUAUAAAUAAAUUGUCCCUGGACGUUAUUGGUUGCAGUUUAUCCGAGAGAAGAUAUCUUAUGCAUUGGAGUUGACGUUUCAUGAUAGAAAAUCAAAUUGAUUCUAGUGCAUGCAAAUUAUAAGAGCAUGUUCAACAAUUUAGCAAAUGACUUUUAUAUCUAUAAUUUUUUUAGCAAAAUAAAAAAAUAAACUCUCUCUCACAGUUUGGUAUCUCAAUUCUCUAUCUUUUCUAUCUUGAUAUAUCACUUUGUCUAGCGCGCAAAUAUACGUGCAGUCUUCGUGCUUGGCGUUGGUCUUUCUCCUUAUGCUUAGUGGGGCCCUUUAUUUCGUUAGCGGAUUUUUAGGUUUUUAGAAACGAAUUUUUGUCAAACUGUUAGAGAUGAGAUCUUUUUUCUUCCUCAUAUUAUUUGGGAGUUGGCAAACAACAAUAUUUGGAGGCAUCUCCAACCGUUUUGGCAAAAUUUGUUUUCCAAAUCUUGAUGUUUGCCAACUCUCAAAAUAAGAGCAUCUCCAGGAGUUUAAGAGCAACUCCAAUAGUUUGGCAAAAAAAACUUGGCAAAUCUAGGCAUUUGGCAAGUGACUAAAACACAUAUAGCAAGUCAAAAAAAUUAGUAUAUCCAAAAAUUUGGCAUUUGGGCUUGACAAAAUUAGGCACAAGCACAAGCACACACACAUUUACGUGUUGCAGAUAACAUUUUCAUUGUUGAAUUGUGAUUGAAACAAUUUUUGGUUCAACUAUAUUCGGCCAUCAGCUCUUGCAUGAAAUAUGCACUUGCAUCAGCUCUGAAUGUGUGAAUGUGUGUGUGCUUAUAUUGACAGCCGUUUCAUCAUUGCCAAUCAUAUGCUUAGAUGCAUGGCCAAUCGCCUGGCAAAAAACGACAGAAACAGGUGUUGUUCCGGCGAACUGGAGCUGCAACUUCUUAGCCUGACGCGGGCAGGGAAGCCGAUGCCAAGUGAACCGGACCGUGCAAACAUUUAUGUGUUCAUCCGAAGGAUGCCAAGUGCGCAAAUUUUGCCAAGUGAAUUGCCAAACGGUUGGACCACCAUGGCGAACUGGAGCUGCAACUUCUUGGCCUGACAAGGGAUGCCGAUGCCAAGUGAACCGGACCGCGCAAAUAUUUAUGUGUUCACCAGAAAGAUGCCAAGUGCGAAAAUUGUGCCAAGUGAAUUGCCAAAUUGUUGGGCCGUGGUUUUUCAAGUUUUGUCAAAAAUCUAAGAAUAGCAAGUGCUUUUGCCAAACUAUUAGAGUUGCUCUAACAACUUCCUACCUUAAUAUUUUAGUAAAAAGAGAAAAAAAAUUUCCUCCAACAGUUUGGUAAAACAGCUUUUAAAAAAUAGAAAGUUCAACUCAUUAAUUCCAUAUUCUCUUUGAAUCUGUUUUCACGUCAUUUCUGAUAUAGUCCUCUCAUUCGACUAAGGGUCUGCAGCACUCAGCGGGACAGACAUGCAUCGAAGCCCUCGAGAGAAUGUGUUUCAUACAACCAGGUGGUGUAUUUUGUCGGCCGUAAUCUGUUGUACAACUUGUUUCCAAAGGCUUAAUGAUCGAAUGUAACUCUGUUUUAGAGGGCCUAAGCCCUAAGCUGCUUUCAGCCUCAUUCCUUGUAUAUUGUGCCUGGCGUUCUGCUCGAAUUGCAUAGUAUGUAUAUUUUGUGUUCCGUAGUUGUCUUGGACAGUAUCAGCUCAUGUUUUUAGUACAAGUCGUUUUUAGUGCAGUUGGCUAUUCAAUUUAACGUGGAUGAUAAGUACUGUAUACUUAUCAGAUGUAUAAUCGUGAUCAAUCAAUUUUGUGGUUUCUUUUACUUAGUAGUAUCACUUAAUUUUGUGUGAUCUUUUGUAAGGGUUCUAUUUCUUGUGGAACUCAUCAUUCACCAAAAAGUUAAUUUUAAGAUUCUUUAUCAUAUUAAAUCUUUGAACACAUGCAUUAAAUAUUAAAUAUAGAUAAAAAAAUAAUUAUUGUAUAGUUUGUCUGUAAUUUGUGAGAUAAAUUUUUUAAACCUAGUUAGUCCAUUGUUGAAUAAUAAUUAUUAAAUAAUUUUUUGAGCAUGUUAGUUUAUGUUUAGAUAAUAAUUAUUAAAUACAAACAAAAGUGCUACGAUAACCGAAUAAAAAAACGCGAACUGGAGUGUUUGGGACUACUCUACAAACUCCACUGUGAAGUAGCUCCAUAAAAAACUAGAGUUUGCGGAGUACCUUUUUAGGUGCUUUCACAACUCCACCUUUUUUUCCUCGAACUGAGUGCGUAGAGAACUGAGUGCGUAGAGCUGAACCGUUUGGCUAAAUAACAUAAAGCGGAGCUAAAAAAACGUGAGACAAAACAAUCCCAAACACCCUCUAAACAAGGCAAAAGUUCGCGAACGAAACAAGGCCUUGGUAAUGCACUCCGGGUAACUCAAAUCAAGUGCUUACAAAUGAGCCCAAUUUGGCCGAGUUUAAUAGCCCGGUUAGGCCAAAUCCCUAGACGUAGAGCUAGCCUUGCCUAGCCUCCUGUCUGCUGUCACGUAGCUAUAAUACCUACUUAUGACUCAGGAAAUAAUUUCCAGCUUUGCCGCCACUGUCACUCCGGCCAGAUAGCUGCACAACGGAGUCGGAUAUAGAAGUAGCCAUCACAAACAAAACAUAGCACAACACAAAUUGCUCACAAUUAACUAAACACGCUAUUGAAAACAUAUGCUGUAAACUUAUUAUUCGCUAGCACUGAAAAGGUGUAACACUGAUACAAAGCUCCCAAGUCCGAUGUACAUCACAGGUAAAACAUUCUCAGUUCGACAAGCUACUACUCUAUGUACCCUGUAAAAUAUCACUCCUCCGAUCACCAGUCAUAUCCCAUCUCGGUGAAACAAGAGUACCUCUGAUGAUAAGCUAUAAAAUGUCUUCGAGACCUAAAGACCUGAUCUACAUGUAAAAAAGGAAGCACAAAAUUUCCUAUAGGGCACAAAGAUGAAGUGUUAAGAAAAAUGGCUUGCAUGUACUCUAGAUAGCAGUCAGCAACCUGCAAUAAGAUUGGUUACUUGUAUUAUAGUUUUAACAUGACUAAAAAGGUUCUAUGGUACAUGAGUAAUUGUUUACUUGGAAUAGCAUCUGACCUUUACAAACUAAACCACUGAAGCAAAGUUGUUGUCCCAUUGAUCCACUAUUGCUCAGGAGUCAGCACUGCAAAAGAAAAGACAACCGUUAGAAGCAUUCUAGUGAAAUUGUGAACAUCAAAAAACUGGUAGAAAUCCAUAACAAAACAAGGGAAUGGUAGCAAGAAAGCAGGCAUCAGUAACAGAAACAGUAACAUUUUAAGCAAAACAUUCUAAGGAAUACGUUUAAAAAGCGUUUGACCAAGGUUGUAAUAAAAUUAAUGAAUCCUAGGUUGAUCAAAACUCCCUGAACUGCCAUACUGCUAAAGAUAAGGGCAACACAAGGUUAUAUCCAGAAUAGAUCACCUAGCAGGAGCUUCCUAAUAUCGUGCACUGGGAGGUAAGGCCAGGAAAAAUAAGGUAUUUAGGACUGUACACUUGCUCAACUACAGCUUUUAUGCUGAUGGUUCUUCAUUUUUCGUACCCCACUGUUCCUCACUACUGUUUCCAUUCACAAGGACAGCACCAUCAGUUGAACCCUCUGCCUCAACCUCAACAGCUUCAUCUUGACUUUCUUCUACUCCGUCAUCCUCUGCAUCAACCUCAACAGCAUCUUCUUGACUCUCUUCUACUCCAUCCUCAAUAACCUGAUCAACAACGAUCAAUGUUACCAGUUCUGCAAGAACAGUGAAUGGGAAGCAAUACAUACAUACAUAUAUAACAAAAAUCAUGAAAGAAAAUGGAAAAUGAUAACAGUACGAUGCUUGAACAGAAGCACGGAACUUUGGAAGUGCACACAAGUACACAACUAACCCUACUGAAAAUUUAUUAGAUAAUAGGUCAACAAACUAGAAACUAACAGGAGACAGUCCUGUACCAUUUAUAGCAACUCAGAGGUUCUCAUCUUUAUAGUCAAAACAUAUUUCUAUUAGUUUUAAGGUACGAAAUGAAACAGUGCAGAACAUCAUACUCAUAAGCAAAGAAGUUAAACUACCAGCAUGUUCCUAAGCAAUUCAAUUUAGUGAAACUACAAUAUGCACACUACUCCCUCCAUUCCAAAUUAUAGAUCACUUUAGCCUUGUCCCAAUUAAAACUUUUCUAACUUUGACCAAGUUUUAGGAAAAGCACCAACACAAUAUCAAAUUAGUUUCAUUAAAUUCUCCAUGGAAUGUCUUGAUAGUGCAUUUAUUUUGAAAUAGUAGAUGUUAGCAUAGUUUUCUAAAAAUUUGGUCAAAGUGAGGGAAGUUUGACUUAGGACAAAACUGAAGCGACCUACAAAAUGAAAGAGGGACUACAGAUUACCAUAUUGUCAAGAUCAAAAUUAGGAUAUUUCACAUAGUAAAUAAGAUGCAACUAACAUCAGAUAACCACCAAACCCUUUUUUUUUUGCGAGGAAUAAAUCAUAAUAGUACCUCAUGAACAGUAUCUUCAUUAUCAUCUGGUACCAUCUCUUCAUGUACAUGCAUAUUUUUAAAAGCUUCCACUAAACUCUCAUUUGACCUUUCAGCAUGAAUCAUGUACUCCUCGGCCGGUGGAUAGAUACCCCUGUUCAAAACGUGUUUUUUAUGUGUGUCGGUAAAAGAUAAUAGCUUGGAAAAAUAUAUGAGUAUCGACAUCACUUCUGCUUUUCAACAGAUGAGUGCAAUUAAAGCACCCUCAUCUGAUGCAAGAGGUAAUCGGAGACAACACAAAAGGAUACAGUUACAUAUGAAGAUAAAAAGAACAAAAACCUUUUCGGGGCAACAACAGCUUCUACAUUGAGAGCAAUCUGCCAGUCGUCAAAUAAGUUUGGGUACUCAUUAGGAUCAGCCAGCGACUCUGCUGCUUUUGGGUUUACCUAAAAAAGCAAAUGGAACAAAACAGUGCACAUUUCAUAAACUUAGACCUGCAAUUUGAAGACAGUGAUGCCCAAGUCUAAACUUAAGACAAAACAAAUAUCACAUGAUUUUAGCAAAUUAUUUAAUACAUAUCCACCCUGAAUUUAGUGUACUAAAAUUAUUAGGUAAAUUGUGCUGGACGAAAUUGAAAGCAUCCAUUACAAGUAAAUUCAGAAACAAUUCCAGCAGUGGACUGUACCAGGGUUAUGCUAAAAUAACAAUACCAUGCUUGAGUUUGUAACUUAAGAUGACAAUUUAUCCUGGGAUACAUGCACUAAGACCAAGUUAACCUAAUUAAGAUAUGCAGAAAGAUUUGAGCAUAAGACUGAGUAGAACAGAAGCAAAGGAGACUCAUAGGACAGAAGACCUUCUGGAGAUCCUUUUUCCACAAUGCUACAAUCUCAGGGACUUUGCUAGGAAGAUAAGAUCUUGCCAUCAAUGCUGCUUCCGGAAUACGGUUGCUGUACAAGGGAUAGUAGACGAGUCAAAAUAAGAAACAAAAAAAAUUAAGGUUAAGCAUGACAAUCUUGCCCAGAUGCCUAUUAUACCUUUCUAUUAGCAAUUGAAGACACUCUUCCAGCUUUCCUAGCAUGAAGAAACAAAGGAAAGAAACAUUGUUCUUUCCUUGUUCUUUGGCUACAGAUGCCAAUUUCUUAAUGCCAUCAGCAUCCCCAAGGGAAGAAUACAAAAGCAACAAACCACUGAGGUCCAUAGCAUAUAGAAGACACUCCUCUGCCAUCUCAAGCUGCAGAAAAUUGUAUGGCAUGUGAGUAAGCGACUUCAAGUUAAAUUUUUGCAUGAUUGCAUCAUAGUUUUACAUGGAACACUAUUUUGUUAAAUCUAAGGAAAUAGCAAUAAGCAUCUCCUUACCAUCAAACUUUUAAGUACCCUCGUAUUAUCAUAAAUAAUUUUCUGCUUCAUAAUAGCUAUUGUUUGUCCCAGUCACAAAUAACUAAUGCUUUGGACAGGACAUGGUCACCAAGAAACUACUUUUAAGUCUUUGACCACUAAAUACUAGUCCAAAAUGUAUGCAAAAUAUAGUGAAUUGACAUGUUGAAACUACUUUUGAAGAGACAUCUAGCAAUGAAACUGAUGAAUGCACGCAACACAAAAUGUUCAAAGGUUAUUCAUAGUGAAUCUAAACCUCUGCAAAAUAUAGCAAGUUUACAAAAGUUCAAUCAAAGUAUUCUUAGAGACAUUGAUGGUCAAAGUUUAAGCCUGUCAAAUUCACACAACAUAAAACGACACUUAUCUGUGUUGCCCAACUCAUAGAGAUUUGGAUCUGGGAAUGCCCAGAGGGCAGCUUGGCCCUUGGCCGCUUGGAUUGAAUCAAACUUGUGAUAACAGGAUACAAUAGAGGGAGGGGGGUCUGCCACUUAUAUAGCAAUGUGGUCAGACACCUACUCCAGAAUAUGCUAUAGCAAAAGUAAAGAUGCCUGCUCCAAACUUGGAUGCCAAGGCACUGCUACUACUAAUGCAGAAAUUAAGAUACAUAGCAAUUAGGCUUAACUAACAUUCUCCCCCUAAGCCUAAUGCUGGUUGAUCUGCUCCAGUCCAAUCCUCCUCCUCAUCUCCUGAAACUUGGCCUUUCCCAGAGACUUGGUGAGUAUGUCUGCAAGCUGAUCAGUAGUAGGGAUGUGGCUGGCCUUGAUACUUCCAUCUUCCAGGCAGUCUCUGAUGAAGUGGUACUUGAUUCUUAUGUGCUUGCUCCUGUCAUGGAAGACUGGGUUCUUGGCCAGAGCUAAAGCAGACUUGCUGUCCACCUUCAACUCCACCACAUCAACUUCUUUGCCCAGCAGCUCCCCGAGCAGUCUGGACAACCAUAGUGCUUGAGUUGCAGCAGAGGCAGUAGCAAUGUAUUCUGCCUCGCAGCUUGACAAGGCCACCACUCUCUGCUUGAUUGACUGCCAGCUGACCAGACAAUCGCCCAAGAAGAACAUAGUCCCACUGGUGCUCUUGCUUGUAUCGAUGUCACCGGCAAGGUCGCUGUCACAGUAGCCGAUGAACCGCGCUGUUCCAGGAGCCCUCUUGUAGUGAAGACCAUACUCCAGAGUCCCAGCAACGUAGCGGAGGAUGCACUUCACCGCCUGCAGAUGCUCCACCGUGGGCCGCUCCAUGAACCGGCUCACGUACCCGACGGCAAACGCCAAGUCCGGCCGGGUAUGCACGAGGUACCGGAGGCUGCCGACAAGCCGCCGGUAGUGCGUGGAGUCCACCUCCUCAGCCUUGCUCUCCCUGCUCAGGCGAAGCUUCUCUUCCAUGGGCGUGUGCGCCGGAUUGCAGCCAAUCAUCUCGCCGAGCUCGAGGAUCCGCUUGGCAUAGUGAGUCUGGCGGAGAGUGAUGCCCCUGGCAUCCUGACGCACCUCGACGCCGAGAUAGAAGCAGAGUAAGCCAAGAUCGCUCAUGUCGAACCUUUCCUUCAUCUGCGCCUUGAAGCUCUUGACCUCCUCCUCCUCAGCGCCGGUGAUGAUGAGGUCGUCGACGUAUACCCCGACGAGCAGGACAGAGCGUCCGCUGCCCCGCCGAUACACAGCCGCCUCGUGCGCGCUCUGGGUGAAGCCCAUCGCCUUCAGGGUGGCGUCCAGCUUCGCAUUCCAGGCGCGCGGUGCCUGCCGCAAGCCGUACAGGGCCUUGCGCAGGCGGUACACCUUGCCUUCUUCUCCGGCGACGGCGAAACCCGGUGGCUGGCGCACGUAUACCUCCUCCUUGAGGUCGCCGUUCAGGAAGGCGGACUUCACGUCCAUGUGAUGCACCGACCACCCUUCCUCAGCCGCCAGCGCGAGGAGGACGCGCACUGACUCCAUGCGCGCCACGGGGGCGAACGCGUCGUCGUAGUCGACGCCCUCCUGCUGGACGAAGCCCCGCGCCACCAGUCGAGCCUUGUGCUUGAUCACCGAGCCCUUCUCGUCCUUCUUGAGCUUGAAGACCCAUUUCAGGGUGAUCGGGCGAUGACCGGCAGGUAAUUCGACAAGCUCCCAGGUCUUGUUCCUCUCCACCGACUCGAUCUCCUGCUUCAUGGCGGCCUCCCACGCCGGAUCACCUCGUGCCUCCGCGUGGUUGAUGGGCUCGCCAGCGUGCGUGAGGUGGAGCUGGGCGAAGAGGCGCGGCGCCAGGUCUGGAAGAGACACAUCUCCCAGGAUGUUGGUCAUCUUGCGGUACCGGAGGGGCUCGUCGUCGUAGAAGGCGUCCAAGCGAUCCUCGUCAUCCUCCAGUGGCGUCGCGAGCUCGACUUGGGGCUGAUCGGUGGUCGGAGUAGUGGUCGGAGAUGGUGUCGCAGCAGCUCCAGGACUGCUCCCGUUCUCCCCCGGAGCUGGUGAGCUUGAUGGCGUGGUCGGAGAUGCUGAAGUGGUCGGAGUGGUCGGAGAUGGUGUAGGCGCGGCUGGAGCAACUGCGGUGGUCGGAGUGGUCGAAGCAGAGGAGGUUGUUGAGGAUUCGCCUCGUGCUCCUUCCUUCCCGCUGAACACCGCGUACUCGAUGACGAACUCCGUGUUCACUGGAGCUGCGUCCUCUCCAGCUUUCACCCAGUCCCAGCCGCGGCUCUCGUCGAAGAUGACAUCCCGUGACACGCGCACUCGCUGCGUCGCCGGGUCGAGCACGCGGUACGCCUUGGCACCGUCGGCGUACCCGAUGAAGAUGCCGGGGCGACUCCGAUCAUCCAACUUCUUCAGCUGGGUGAGGUCCUUGGUGUAUGCCACACACCCGAACGUGCGCAGGUGACCCACCGCCGGCGUCUUGUCGUGCCAUGCCUCGUAAGGCGUCUUGCCCUGCAAGCUCCCGGUAGGCGCUCGGUUCAGGAGAUGGACAGCAGUCACCACUGCCUCCCCCCAAUACCGAGCCGGAAGACACCUCUGCUUCAGCAGCGCACGAGCCAUGGCCACCACCGUCUGGUUCCGGCGCUCCACGACUCCGUUCUGCUGCGGCGAGUAGGGGGCGGUGUAGUGGCGCUCGAUUCCUUCAUCGGCGCAGUAGGCCGCAAACUCCAUGGCGGUGAAUUCGCGACCGUUGUCGGUGCGCAGCACCUGGAGCUUGCGUUCGCUCCCCUUCUCAGCUACAGCCUGGAGAUGUUUGAUGGCGUCCGCGGCGGCGUCCUUGGUGGUCAGCAGUGCCACCCACAUGUACCGCGUGGCGUCGUCGACGAGCAGCAGGAAGUAGCGUCUGCCGCCCGGAGUCGCCGGCGUGAUUGGGCCGCAGAGAUCGCCGUGGACGAGCUUGAGCGGCUCCUGCGCACGGUACUCAGCCUCCGCCGGGAACGGGGCUCGACGAUGCUUGGCGAGGACGCACGUGUCGCAGAACUGCCCGACGUGGGUGAUCGCCGGCAAUCCGCGCACCAUGUCGUUCUUGGACAGCUGCCGGAGAGCGUCGAAGUGGAGAUGACCGUAGCGCUCGUGCCAGCGCCAUGCCGCAUCAUCCUUGCGUGCGGCGAGGCAGAGUGGCUUGGCCUGGUUCAGAUGCAGGACAUAGAGGCGGUUAGCACCGCGGCGCACCUUGACGAGUAGCCGCCGGUGUCGAUCCCAAAUCCUCAGGACGCCGUGCUCGAUCUCCACCUUUGACCCCCCUUCGUCCAGUUGGCCGAGGCUCAUGAUCGAAUUCCUGAGCGCUGGGAUGAAGUAGACGCCGUGGAGCACCCGGUGCUCCCCGUUCUUCGCUUCGAAGAUGAUGGACCCGACGCCAUGGAUCUCCACCUUCGACUCGUCGCCGAACCUCACCGAUCCUCUGGCAGAAGUGUCCAGGUCGGUGAAGAGCUCGUGUCGGCCGGUCAUGUGGUGGGUUGCACCGCUGUCCAGGUACCAUCCGUCCAUCUUCUCUUCAUUGCCGGUGUCGAGGUAGGCGCGCGCACGGGGUUCUUCAAGCUCGAGGCAGCCGUUCUUGGCGCAGAAGAUUGAAGCUUGGGCCUUGCUGCAGCUCCCUUGUGCGUCGAGCUCCAGGAAGCCAUGCGCGAGGAAGGCGGCAGCGUCCUCAUCCACUUGGGCGACGUUGGCGGCGCCACCGCGCUCUCGGUUACGUCGGGGAUGAGGACAGUCUCGGGCCCAGUGGCCUGCUUGAUGGCAGUUGAGGCAGAGGUCGUCGCGAUUCGCCUUGUGCUCGCCGUCCGCACCUCCUGCCUUGUCCGCCUGCGCCCCUCCGCCACCGGCUCCGCAUCCGUCGCGAUCGCCGCGCGGCUUGUUCUUCUUGCCACCGCGAGGACGCCGUCGCUUGUCCUUGGACGGCCCGGCUGCUUCCGCCUUCUUCUUCUUGUCGAAGGCCCGCCACUGUUCGGCGGUGUACAGAAGCUUGCCGCCGGCGUUGGCGGAUUCGAGGUCGUCCGCCAGCUCUCGGUCCUGGACCGACUUGAGCCGGCCGGUGACGUCCUCGAUGGUGAGCGCGUCGAAGUCGAGCAGAGUCUCGAUCGAGUUCACGAUCUGCCUGUACCUCUUCGGCAUGCACCGGAGGAGCUUCUCGACGGCGCGUUCUUCGGUGAGGUCGGUGUCGCCGUUCAGCUUCAUCUGCUCCAUCAGACUGCUGAGGCGCACGGCGAAGUCCUCGACAUGUUCGCCGGGCUGAAAGGCGAGGCCUUCCCACUCCCCGCGAAGGCGCUGCAGUGUCGCGCGGCGUACCCGGUCACCGCCGACUCUGCGCAGCGCGAUGGCGUCCCACGCCAGCUUCGCCGUCCUCUUGUUGGCGAUGGAGGCCGCGAUGUCGAGCGGGACAGCGGCGCACAGAGCCUCCAAGGCCCGGCGAUCCUCCUCAUACGUGACGCCACCGACGUGAACUGCAUCCCAAAGAUGUCGAGCUUGGAGCUUUACCUUCAUCAGGAGGCUCCACUCGUGGUAGUUGCUCUUGGUGAGCAUCGGCCACGGCGUCCCGGCCCCGGAGUCGCGGUAGACCAUCUGCGGCACCGGCGAACGCCCGCGACGACCACGGCGCCGCUCAGGAGACGGCGACUGGCGGCGGCGCUCGGGGGUGCGCGAUCGCGAUCCCGCGGAGACCGCAUCCUCCUGCUCCAGCUCCCGACGCAGGGCGGCCGCGGCGUCAACUGCGGCCUGCGCCGCUGCUGCUGCCUGCUGGGCCGUGGCGGCCGCGGCCGCCGCCGCUGCCUCUGCGGCAGCAAGGCGCGUCCUGCGGUCAUCCCCCCCCGCGCCGAAGGCUCCAGCGCCCCGCUGCUCCACCGUGGAUGCUACAGCUGCUGCUGCUGCUGCGGCGGCGGCGGCCCGGACGCGAGCACUCUCGGUGGACAUGGCUCUCUCUGGGUAAACCCUAAAGCUCUGAUACCAAUUGUUGCCCAACUCAUAGAGAUUUGGAUCUGGGAAUGCCCAGAGGGCAGCUUGGCCCUUGGCCGCUUGGAUUGAAUCAAACUUGUGAUAACAGGAUACAAUAGAGGGAGGGGGGUCUGCCACUUAUAUAGCAAUGUGGUCAGACACCUACUCCAGAAUAUGCUAUAGCAAAAGUAAAGAUGCCUGCUCCAAACUUGGAUGCCAAGGCACUGCUACUACUAAUGCAGAAAUUAAGAUACAUAGCAAUUAGGCUUAACUAACAAUCUGCAACCAGAGGAAGUAGUAAUUAAGAAAACAUUAUGGCUGAACCACACUAUAUAAGGACAACAUAGAUAGCGGCAUUGCGCAUGCAAGAUAAACAAUACACCCGGUAGCUGUACCUUUCCAUUUGACAUAGCUAACUCCCCUAAUUGCUUCCACUUGGACUCACUUUGCACCUCGGUAGCAAUCGCCUGCAAAGCAACUACUAUUAGAAAAAAAUCAAAAAAUAAAUACUUUCAUGAAAUUGUGGAGAAGAAAAGAAAUCGAUUGUGCCUUCGCAAUUUCAAGUCGACCAAGCUGCACAGCCAGGUCAAAUUUGUAAUUAGUGUCAGUUGCUAUCUCGAGGGCUUCCUCCAACAUUCCCCGUGAUUCCAAGAAACGUGCCACACUGCAAAACGAAAGGUUAUGUUUCUAUGCUAAACCUGACUUGACACUACAAUAAUUACCAUGACAUUGAGCACCUGUCAUAUUGUUCCUUUGGUAUAGAUGAUAAAACAUCAUUCGCGCGAUCAAAAUCCCCACGCAUUACAAGUGUUUUAUACUCGAUCAAACUAAGGAGUAAAGUAUACCCCACAACACUGCAAUUAAAAGGUACAUUAGCCACAGAACUUGUGUAUGAAAACUACAUGUGAAAUUUAGGUAACAAAGAUGAACUCACUUAAAUUGCUUAUCAAUAAGAUAGACACGGCUUUGGUUUGCAAGAUAUCCUAGUAAAUACAUUGGCCGAUCCAAGUGAAACAAGGUUGUGACCUGUAACACAUGAAAUGGUUAUGACAUGAAAGCUCAAAAGAUAUAUAGGAUGUUUUUGUAAGUGACGAAAAAAACUCACCUCUCCUCCUACACAGUAAUUAAGCCGCCAUGAAGAAUUAUUGUAGAUGAAGCAAUCGCCAACCCAUAGCCCAGUGCGGACACGUUCAUUGAUCUCAUGAAGCAGUUCAAAGGCAUCUUCCACACCUUCCUCACCAGCUGAACCCCCUCCAUCCAAAUGAGAUGAAACUACAUCCCUCUACAAGGUAAAAGGAAACUUUUAUAUUAGUACAUUUCCAUUUGACCAAAAAAUAAUUGCUUCUUAAUUUGACAUAAAAAAAAGACACAAGAAAUGUCAACGGAACAUAGGUAAUUGAGGUAAUGACAGAACUCACAUUAUAUUUCAAAAUGUAGAAUGACGUAUCACUUGCAAUUGUUACUAAAUCACCACUGUCGGCCCAGUAAAGAUUCUACACAAAGAAACAUGUUUUCAGUGGCACAACAUUUCAAAUGGCAUGAAUGUAAAAACAGCUUUGAAAUAAUAAGGCAGCAAAUUCCAUACCUUCACAUUGACAUCAAUUCGACGUAUCAAUCUGCAAUCCACCCAAUCAUAGAAGCAAAUGAAGUCAUUUGUACACAUAGCAAGUAACACUCCACCAAAUAUCCGUUCAGCAGAAAAUGAUGGCCUUAUACUUUUCUUCUCCUGAAAAGACCAACUCUAGUUAACAGACUAUGUUCCAGGAACCCAUAACAAAAGAGAAUGGUGUAUGGAGUAUAGUAUGCUGGUUGCAAUUCAUUUAACAAUUUAGUUUGGAGCAGCACAGUAAAAUAGUUAUUUUACCUUUCCAUCAAACUUAACAAAAAAAGACAACACAAACUACAGUACAGUUUAUUUCAUAGCGUCUAUAGUUCAUCAUAGAAACUAUUGAGGCUACAAAUUGGAUAUGAGGGCCAAUUGACCAGACAUUUCAAGAUUAUCUUUUAUGGCAUGACUAAGCAUGUUACCAGGAACAGGUGCCCUACGGAUGUUUGCUUUAUAGAUAUAACUAAACUAAACAGUGUGCCAGGGAGAAGUGAAAUAUGUUACACUCAAACAAACCUGGAAAUUUUUAGUGUAUAUCUUUAUCCUCGAGGUGCUUUCUCUGAUGGCAUAUUCUCCAUCAGUUGACCAAACAACUUCAAGUGCGGUCCCAAAUGAUUUGUUUCUCCAUGCUAAUGCUGUGUAUAUUAUGUAAUCUCCAUCUCCGCAUACAACAACAAAUCUCCCAUUCGGAUUGUGCCUUAAGCUCUGAAACAAAUAUUGCACCAGUAUAUUAUUAACUUAAACCAGCACAAAUAAAAUAUGCAUGACCACAAAAAAGUUUAAAAAAAAUCAUGAUGGUUCAAACAUUCAAUGUUGUUCAAAAGAAUGAGCCAUUACCCCCUACCCAUAAACUGCCAUAGGCAUUUUUAUGGUCCCACUAAGUUACAGAGAAAUUUAUGGCACAAAUGAGCUAUCGCUGACCAAGAAGCAUUUCAAUUUGGUAUUUGAGUUUAACGUUAUUAUACUGAAAAAUGCAGCUAAAUAAACACAAUAUCCGGAUGCAUUUCCAAAAAUACAUGAUGAAUGUAUUAUCAUGACACCAUGUCUAUGUUACUUGGACAUUAAAAAGAAAAAAAUAGAACUAAGUUUCAAGUAUUUAGUUGACUUGUGAUGAAGAAGAUCACAACUGAAGCAUCCAUUUUAUCACAGGUAAACUUACUUGUGGAUAAAGAUCGCAGCUUCCCAACUCCUUCACGGCCAAUGGUAACCGAUCACCAUCUGCGAUCUAAAAAACAAAACAGUUAAGGACCACAGAGAAACCUUAUAAUAAGCUUAAUAAGUUUACAUCGCAAUAGCAUGGUGAACAAAGGCAACCUCAUUGUCUGCACCAACACUCUUGAUAUUAACAGUUUGGAUUUCAUUAUGCUUUGCCCAUAUAAUUUUCCCACUGCUAUCCAUGCUAGCAACAGGAACUUCACGACCAAUUUUUAUCAUUAUUGUCCCUUCAUCAUAUCCAAUCACGACCCUACACAAAAUAAGAUAUUCGAUAUCAUUAACUUGACAUGUGCAGGAAAGAACAAGUCAAAGAAAACCACACACAGCAUGUUUCAGUGAGAGCAAUUCGUUAAGAAAUAGUUAGGCAAAUAAACAAUUUUAUUGUCACAAUGUAUGAAAAUGGGAUAUGAAAAAAGGUAUGGUACUUCCAUAAGACAGUUGAGGAAAUGUGGAGAACACAGCGUGUGCAGUAUUACUGAGCUGUGGAUCUGUGGAGCCCUUGAUAGCAGAUUACAAGAAAUGGCAUUUGGUGUCAGACACUUCAAUAUGGAGAGAGAGAGAGAGAGAGAGAGAGAGAGAGACUACCUUCUUGACCCUUUCAUAUAUCCUAAAGCCCAAACUCGCUCAAGGCCAUAGUUAAGAGUGUUCUCAAGCCUGUAAAAGCAUCAAGAAAAUCAUUAGUCUCUUGUUGGCUUGUUCUAUAACCAAAAAAAAAGUAUUAGUUGCAUGGAAAAAGGAUUGUAAUACUAUUCUAAACCAUGAGUACAAAACAGCAGGUCUUCAUAUAUCACGAGUUCCGGCAUCAAAAAGUAGUUCCAUAAUUUUAUAUGACAAAAUGAAAAUAAAAAAUAUUUUUUUAAAAAAAAAAACUCUUCUCAAAACUGCAGGAGAAAGCAUAACUCCAAGAACCCCUUUUUUCUCAUCACCUCAUUGUUAAAGGAGCUAAUCAUUUCAACAGCUUAUGGACAUAAGCUGCUAUAGUCAUGUGUGUCAUGAUGGUUUAAUGCUCAACAAUUAGUGCCAGGUCUGAUACCAAUCAGCACAGGGUUAGAACCAAUCAUGUAUCUCAUUCACCCCUAUUUAGUUGCAGUGUUUUCUCUGUAUGUGACUGAUUUUUACUGUAUGUUGUAAUACAAAACAAACAGUGCAAGUUAACCUCCUGCUACUGUAACCCUCUCACCAGACUUUUUUUGGGAAGUCAUGUGUACUUAAUCUAAGUAACAAAAUCUCCUGCUACUGUAACCAACAAUUGAACAUUUACACUCUAAAACUGUCGCAAAGUUAAGCCUCGGAUCAAAUAGCAUAAGAGGCUAUCACAGAAACUGCUGAUGAAAUUUAGUGGCUACCAGAUUUGGCCUCAGAAUGAAAGCACACUUGCAUAUACAUAUAUAAGCAAGUGAUGACAGUGAUACUAAAUAAAUGAGUAGCAAUACCUGUAGGUAGUAGAAUGCCACAUUCGAACUGUCCCAUCCUCUGAACCAGUAAUUAUUAUAGGUAGCUCUGGAUGGAAACAUACAGCAGACACAUUAUGUGCAUGUCCUUCAAGUGUUUGAACGCAACUCUUUGUUUGGUAGUCCCAAACCUGAUUUUGACCAAUAAUGUCAUCAGUGUACAAUAAAUGAUCACAGGAGUACAAUUCAGUGCAUAUGACAAACCUUUGCAGUCUGAUCAUCAGAGCCAGUAAUUAAGUAUGGUCGAUCACCACCAGUGAAGUAAUCAACACAGUUCACACCUUUUGAAUGGCCAUCUAGUGUGAAAUUUGGGUCAGGGGAACCAAGACUCCAUAUCUGAUAUUGACAAAAAUUAGGAUAUCACCAUUAAGUUAUGAAAAAGCUAAUGGCAGCAAAUAAUACAAUAUUGUGGCCAACCAGAACUUUUAAAGCGGAGAUAACACAAACCUUUAUUGUGCGAUCCAGGGAAGCACUGGCAAAGGUGUUGGUAUCUUUUGGGUUAAAUGUAACUUGCAUCACAUAGUGAGAAUGCCCUUCGAAUAUUUGAGUACACACCCAGCCUUUAUCCCAAUCCCACAGCUUAAUCAGCAUGUCAUCGGACGAUGAUAGCACAAAGGGCUGCGUUGGAUGAACAGCCACACACCUAAUGUAAUCAGUGUGAGCUUCAAAAACCUUGACCUUGUCCAUUGUGUUAUAGUUGUACACACGGAUGAACAUAUCGUCAGCACCAGCAACAACCCAUUGCUUACGUGCAAUAAAUUUAGCCGAACGAACUGAAAUUGUUAAAGAAUAUUAGCAUAGCAUGAUCUAAACCUCAGGGAAGAGAAGCAAGCAGAAAGUUGGGUGAGCAUACCUGGUAAAUCCGUGACUUCAAAUGAUUUCACCAUUGUCUGGGGAUGAGUUGAUAAAAUGCCAUCAGUUAAAGUUUAUGACCAAACCAACCAGGUAAUAUUUCUGGACUUUAAAAGUAAUGAGAUCAUGGAUUCACAAGGUGUGCAUGUUUCUCUUUUCUUCCUUCCAGUACUGGGGUUUAAUUCUGUGUUUGCUCUAUUCCAUUCCUUAUUCUUCCUUCCAGUACUUGGGUUUAAUUAUGUGUCUGCUCUAUUCCAUUCCCUAUCUGUGGUUCACUAGUCUGUCAACCAUUUACAAGCUGCAUAUAAAUUCGGCACAUGCAACUAAAACCCAUCCAUCUCAGCAUCCAUCAGGGAGGUGCUAAUCAUUACGCUUUUUGCAAAUGCAAUUAAAUCCAAAUUGUUCCUAUUAGUUUUAUGUAACCACUAGUCUUUCCUUUACUCUAUUGCUGGCAUAUCACUAAGUUCAUUAUUGUGUACACCCAAUAUGCCCGCGCCUUGACCUCUAUAGUAAAUGCAAUGUAUGCAAGUAAUGGCUAAUCAUUAUAGCGUAAAACGUUCAUCCAACAACCCAAUUUAGUAUAAAAUAAUAGGCAUAAGCUACCGUGAAGCAUGAACAAUCACCUACCUGAGUCUGGUAGUUCCAUACACAAACGCUUCCCGAGUACAGACUCGACAAAAUCCUGCAUUCCGCCACAUAGCAUAAUGUGAUUAGCCAUGGUUCAGACGAAGCACUCAUAAUUCACGUAGCGUUUCGGUACACAAAACCAGCCACUCACCAUGGCUCUGUCGGAUGCAGAUCCACGGACUUCACCCUCUCGGACCUCUGCGCGAGCUUCCUCUGAUCAAAGCAAACAGAGAACCACCAUCAGCGACGCGGCCCAAAAGCAUUUACCGCCGAGACAAAACGAGGAGCAGAAAGCCAAACGGAUCCGAGGAAGAUGGGUUGAGAUUACCUUGAUAUCCAACCGGAGCGGCUGCCGGAGCACGCCCAUCGCCCGCCCACCAACACCACAGACAGAAAAAAAAAGGCAAUCACAUCAGUACACAACGCCAGAAAGCACCAGAUCCACGCGGAUUUCAACCAGCCCCGCCGCGGAUCUCGCGAGCCGCCGCGGCACAGCCCAACGGGUGCGAUCUCGCCUCGCGUACGCGGCGGCGAAGUAGCAAGGCGGGAGCUGGAAGAGGUGUUCGGUGCGGAAGACGAGAGAGAGAGAGAGGCACGUGCACGUACCAUGGUGGCGCCCGCGACGGCUACGGAGGCAGCGGCGAAGCGAGGAGCGCGACUGGCGGAGGUGCGGCCGUGGAGGCGGCGCUUCUAGGGCUUGCGUAGCGAGGGGGCGGGUGGGAGUGUGAGGAGCGCGGCGGCGCGGGCGGUGGCCUCUCGCCGGACCGGGAGGUGCAGGCGCGCCGCGCGGGGAGAGGGGAGGAGAUUUGCGAGUGCGGGCCUGCGUGGGGAGACGAUUCCGGUGGAGAGGGGAGUGGAGAGGUAGAAAACGGGCUAACGGGUCUCGUAGCUAGCGUGGAUUGGAUCUAUUCUGGACUCUGGAGUGGAGGCCUCCGUGUGUUUUUUGGUUGGCCUUUUUGGAUCAUGGGAUGUUGACUUGUCCUGCUGAAGUAGUGAUUAAGCAAAGCUGGGUAGGUGUCUUUUAAAGUUCAAGGGCAACUAAUAUUGGAUGGUUUUAAAAUUUUGAAAUUAGAUUGUUAUAGUCUCAAAAUUCAAACUCUAUCAUCUUUGGUUAGUAAUUAAUUAGUUCAAUUGCAUAAAAAGUUUAUAAUACUGUAGUGGUUACUUUAGACUUGUAUUUAGAAAUACUUUCUAAUAAUCAGAAUUUUAUUAUAAUACAUUACUAGUAUAUAUACAUAAUAAGAAAAAAAGACUGAUAAGUUAAAUCAUACCUUGUAUUCUAGGAUGGAUAGUAUAAAUAAAUUGUCCAUGAAUGUUAUUGGUUGCAGUUUAUCCGAGAGCUAGAUAUCUGAUGCACACGUUUCAUGGAUAGAAAUCAAUUUGAUUCCGGCAUUGCACGCAAAAUGUAAGGAGUGCAUACACCCUACAUUUUAGAUGUAGGAACAAGAUGUUUUAGUUUUGUCCUAAGCUAAAAUGUCCUAUUCCGUACCAAGUUAUAAAAAGAACUAAAUUUUAUAAAAAAAAAUUCUAGAAUAUCUAAUGAAAUAUCUUGGUAUUGUAUUUUUUUGUUCUUAUAUAUGUUAGUAUAUUUUUAUAAACUUGAUUAAGGUCCGAAAAACACUUUCUAUUUUUAAAAGAGACAUAGUAUGUCAUGCUAUAAGCCAUAUGGCACAAGGACUCUAAAGGCUUCAGUAAUGCAGGCUUAGGCUUGAGCCAACAACUACGAUGUAUACAGGCACAAAACACCUUGGGCUCCUAAAUCUCCCAGCUCAAGGCAACACUCACAAGGUUGCAUAUUUGGUAUGGUUUAACUAGUUUUCAUGGAGAAAACUGCUUUCGCUUGUGCUCUCUGUUGCAAAUUAUUACGUCGCAGUGUUUGGGUGUCUAUUGCGCUACUACAUAAAAUGAAACUCCAGGAAGCAACCUUAUUGUCUGACAACCAGCAAUUGGUCUUAAAUGGGACUAAUCUCUCCAACUCUCCUGAUUGGAGAACAAAACCAUAUACACAGACGAUCAGUUCUUUUCUCUGGCAGCCACAAACUCUUCCUUUUGCAAUAUUAGAAGAACUCAGAAUCAAAUGACAGAUUUGUUGGCUAGAUAGACUCUUUCUGUUUUUCACUCCAGUCACACAAGUUUCGCAGGAGCUUGUGUUAAUCCACAACAUGCUUAUGAGUGCUCAGUUUCUUGUGGCUCUCCAAUAUGUAAACAUAAACUCUAUUAUGGUUCUCACAGCUUCUUGCUGUUCUCAAUGAAUAUGGUUACUUGUCAAAAAAAUUGUCUAGCUCGGUGACUCCUUGCAGGUUCGGUUAGAUGAAGACAAUACUAUCUCUGCAAAAUUUCUACAAAGCCACAACCCACAACACAAGCAUGACAUGAAUGCUCAAACUGAAGAUGAACGCUAGAGCUCCAGCAUGCAUGGCACGACCUUGAUGUGUCGUAUCAUGCCCUUAAUUAGUGAUGAAAAAUGGCGUGUGUUAAUGUCGUCCAUGUUGUUAGCAAGAAAUGAACAUAAAAAAAAUAAGACAAUAAUGCACCACUUCAUUAAUAUAUGUUUUUCUGUUGAAGAAAUAAGCUUUGAUGACUUAUGACUCACUCACGUGACACCCCAACUUCUGUCGCUGUAAAUCCUCCAUGUCCUUUUUCCUUCUCGCUUAGUUGGAGAAGUCUACUACAAACUUGAACAUUUGUGAAGCAUUGUCAUGAUCCUCUCUCCAUUGGUGAAGAAAACAUUUU